AUACGGAGGAUGCGAGCGUUAUCCGGAUUUAUUGGGUUUAAAGGGAGCGUAGGUGGGAUAUUAAGUCAGCUGUGAAAGUUUGGGGCUCAACCUUAAAAUUGCAGUUGAUACUGGUUUCCUUGAGUACGGUACAGGUGGGCGGAAUUCGUGGUGUAGCGGUGAAAUGCUUAGAUAUCACGAAGAACUCCGAUCGCGAAGGCAGCUCACCGGGCCGGAACUGACACUGAUGCUCGAAAGUGCGGGUAUCAAACAGGAUUAGAUACCCUGGUAGUCCACACAGUAAACGAUGAAUACUCGCUGUUUGCGAUAUACAGUAAGCGGCCAAGCGAAAGCAUUAAGUAUUCCACCUGGGGAGUAUGCCGGCAACGGUGAAACUCAAAUGAAUUGACGGGG
rnacentral:rRNA from 1 species